UACGAAGGGGGCUAGCGUUGCUCGGAAUCACUGGGCGUAAAGGGUGCGUAGGUGGCGAGGUAAGUUGGAUGUGAAAUCCUGGGGCUCAACCCUAGAACUGCAUUCAAUACUGCCUUGCUAGAGUACUGGAGAGGAGAUUGGAAUUUACGGUGUAGCAGUGAAAUGCGUAGAUAUCGCAAGGAAGACCAGUGGCGAAGGCGGAUCUCUGGACAGUUACUGACACUGAGGCACGAAGGCCAGGGGAGCAAACGGG
rnacentral:rRNA from 1 species